UCAGUAGAAACAAAGGUGAAAAGAUGGAGAUGUAGUCACUUCAUUGUCAGACUCAUUAUUAACAAAAACAAAGGUUGGUAAAAAAGAGUGUCUAUCUAUAGUCUCCAAGUCUUUGAUUUACCUGAACAAAGGCUACAGAAAGAAUAUACCAGCACAACACCUAUCUGCAGCAGCUUUCCGCGGAGUUUCUGAAAAUGCAUAGCAGAAGGACAAGCAGAUUGUCAGAUACCAAGCAACUUGUCAUAAUAAUUUGCAUGGGAGUUCAAAAAAUUGUGUGGGAUCUCCAUUGCCUGGGUAACUAAACCAGGAGGUUAAUAUUCCAAACUUCUCUACCAAGCUAUAUCAUUUUGGUAGCUUAUUUUUGCUUUCUAAUUACAUGAUUGACCAGCUAAGAAAUGAUUUAGAGUUAGCUUGUACUAUUUCCUCCAGAAUUGCUCUGUGCAAAUUGAAUCAAUAAUCAAUCAGAAGAAAAAUAUCAGCAAAAUGUGAUUAUUUAGAUGAAACAAGAGGCGGUGGUUGCCAACCUACUCCCAUAAGUUGAGCACCACCAUGCCGGCGUGUACGAUGAGCACGACAGUGCCGACGUUUUGGAGAAAAAGGGUUCUCCAGCCACAUGGACCCACCAACACCAAUUUAUUACAUCAAAGAGGCUAACCAAGUCAACGACCCUGUUGUGUUCUUGGCUCUUGAACUUUUCUCUCUAGCAUUUUGGCGCUUAUAACGUGUUCUUGCUUAUAGUAACUAACCAACUGAAUCAAAAUUCAUUAGUAGUUACCAUUCCCACUGUCUGUAACAAUCAUAGCACAUUUAGCAAUCAAUCGCUAGCAACAAGCAUAACACUGUCUACAACAAGCCUAACAUGCCCACUUUUAAAGGACACAACACUACAGAGCUCACAACAAACAAUUCAUAUUGGGUAGAACUUCACAGUUUAGGUGGCGUCCGACCAACAAACUGCACAUCAACAAAAAUUGGAGCUCACCUUGGUGAUCGGC
rnacentral:lncRNA from 1 species